AUUGAACGCUGGCGGCAGGCCUAACACAUGCAAGUCGAACGAGUGGCGGACGGGUGAGUAAUGUCUGGGACACUGCCUGAUGGAGGGGGAUAACUACUGGAAACGGUAGCUAAUACCGCAUACCAUCGGAUGUGCCCAGAUGGGAUUAGCUUGUUGGUGGGGUAACGGGUGACCAAGGCGACGAUCCCUAGCUGGUCUGCGAGGAUGACCGGCCACACGGGAACUUAGACACGGUCCAGAGUCCUACGGGAGGCAGCGGUGGGGAAUAUUGCACAAUGGGCGAAAGCCUGAUGCAGCGAUGCCGCGUGUAUGAAGAAGGCCUUCGGGUUGUAAAGUACUUUCAGCGGGGAGGCGUUACCCGCAGAAGAAGCACCGGCUAACUCCGUGCCAGCAGCCGCGGUAAUAC
rnacentral:rRNA from 1 species